UCAGAUGUUACAUUUUGAAACGUUAUCACUGUAAGGUUAUUAACAACGUUACGUAGAUAGCUACAAUACUGCUUUGCUCUUCGCAGCUUAUAAGUAACAUAUUUACGCAUAUAAACCAAUGGAUUCACUUGAUAAAGUCACACUGGAAAUAUUAAAAGGAGCUGCAGUUUUCUGUGCAGCAAGAUAACUUUCAAGACAGCUGCACAUAUCCCUCCUCUUCUGAAUGCAAUACUUUACAAAAUGCCAGUCUUUCACCUACCCCUCAAUCCAGUGAGCAAGGAUGUUCUAGAAAACUUUUAAGAGAAGCCAGCCCCUCUAAAAUCAUUCAACUACCAAGCCCUGAAUACAUCCUUCAUAGUGACAGUGAGUUGGAGCAGGUCAGAAAACACUGCAGCGCAUAGGAAAAGAGGAGCAUUGUAUUCUUUCAAAGGAUCUGCGCUGUAGAUUAUUUAGAAAUACAGUGACCAACAUGUGCCCAUGCUGAGGACAACAACAAAGGAAGACAAAUAUACCUCCAAACAUGAGGUUUCUUUAAUGGCAAAACAUAUAGUCAAGUAUUAUCCAAAGCUAUGUGCAGCUGAAGAUCAAAAUUCAUGGGGUGUAAUCUCAUUACAGGAACCUGUGUUUAAACAAUUCCUGAAAAGGCUACAGAAUAUCCACACACCACAGAAGCGACAGGGCUGUAUGCCUCAAAUAAAUAAAGCGAUGUCUCGGCGUCACCACUAACAAGCCUGAUGCUGCUGAAAUCGAGAAUUCAGACGAGGCCGAUUCCACUGCAUCUUUGGGGAAUGCUAUUGCUUCAAGAAGUUACAGCAGAGAGAAUGUGAACCAUCUGCUGUUGACACUACAAAACACUACAGAAUCUUUACAAGAAGCCAAAGCCAAAUACAUUUUAGUUACCCAGCUCCAUGAUCAUGAAUUUAAUGCACAGAGGUCAUUUAUAGAUUAUGUGGGAGGCUUA